UAAAUAAUGUGGUUAUUUAUUAAAGAUACAUUAAUAAUUCUUGUAAUUGAUGCAGGUUUUCUUUUUUCUACAGACUACUAUUAUUUUAUUCUUGUCUCUCUGGAAAAUGAAAAAUCCAUUAGUUUUUCUCUUUUGCUUUUACCCAGAAAUUAAAGGUUGGUAAGUGGUAAUUAGCGUAGCUCCUGUCAAAGCCAGUUGCCUCAUGAGGACCGACAUUUGACUUAAGCUGAAAUAAUGGAAUAUGGCUAAUGUAAAGUUCAUUAGUCCCAGCUGCUUUCUUUGACAUUCUUUUCUUCUACCACAAGAACGGGCAUGCCCUGCCCUCUCUCACUCCUAUUUUUAGACGUAUUGCUGCGCUCCUAUGUGUCUAUUCUACAAGGCUGGAGGCACAGUGGUUAUAGGGAAGGUAAAUGGUAAUGGGACAAUAUGUCUGUGACCACGUUCAUUACACAUCUGGGAUAGAGCUCUGACUCUUUGAUAGAGGACUCCAGCACCCCAUCUGUCUGCCCCUGAGAAACGAAAGAGAACCACUCUCCACUGUCUACUAUAUGUUAGGUACUAGGAUUUUUCUCAUUAUAGCACUUCAUUCCUUUCUUGGGGGGGACUGGAUUAUUUAUUUUGAGACAGGGCCUCACUCUGCCACCCAGGAUGGAGUGCAGUGGCACGAUCACAGCUCAUUGUAGCCUCGAACUCCUGGGCUCAAGUGAUCCUUCUGCCUUAGCCUCCCGAGUAUCUAGGAUUACAGGCAUGUACCACUACACCCGGCUAAUUUUUAUUUUUUACAUUUUUGUAGAGAUGGGGUCUUGCUAUGUUCCCCAGGUCGGUCUGUCGGUCAUGUGGUACUUCAUUUAGGCCAGGCGUGGUGGCUCACCACCUAUACUCCCAGCACUUUGGGAGGCCAAGGCAGGUGGAUCACUUGAGGUCAGGAGUUUGAGACCAGUCUAGCCAACAUGGUGAAACCCUGUGUCUACUAAAAAUACCAAAAAAAACUUAGCCGGGUGUGGUGGCGGGCACCUGUAAUCCCAGCUACUCUGGAGGCUGAGGCAAGAGAAUCGCCUGAACCUGGGAGAUGGAGGUUGCAGUGAGCAGAGAUUGUGCCACUACACUCCAGCCUGGGCAACAGAGCAAAGCCUCAAACAAAACGAAAACGAAACAAAACAAAUAUAGUACUUCAUUUAACCCUUUCAAGCUUGGAGCCUUAGACUAACUGAGAGGUUAGACUCAAGCCGGUUUGUCUCACUCCCAAAUCCACAGGACAUUUUCCAUUAUCCACCCAGUUCAGCCGCUUGGUGGGCUUGCUUCAAGUACAGAAUAUUAACACUAACGCCCAGACGAGUCAACGAACGCUCUGUGUGUCUAACAGAAAUAAAAUAUUCUGGCUGGGUGUGGUGGCUCAUGCCUGUAAUCCCAAAAUUCUGGGAAGCUGAUGUGGGAGGAUUGCUUGAGGCCUGGAGUUUGAGACCAGCCUGGGUAACAUGGUGAGUUUUAAUGUACCCUGGAUUUCCUAGGAAUGUAGCUACUCUGUAAAUCAAGGACAGACACGUUUACUGUUCUGGGAAAUCCCAUUUCCAAGGGCAACGCUGCUGACGGUGUUUGAGCUGACAAUCCCCGUGCCCCAUGUGCCAAUCAGCCUCUGUCGGAUGCACAGCGAUUCCGUGUGUAAGUGCAAGCAUCUGACAGUGAAACACACACCACUUUGUUGGAAAUUAUUUUCCUUUUUGCCCUGAAACAGUACAUCUGGGGCAUUAUAUUAAUGCUUCUGUAUGAGUGUAGGUAGCUUAUCAGCGGUGGCUUCUAUUAAAGGAUAAUUAAGGAGGCAUUACAAAAUAAGCUAUAAAAAAGGAAAUGUUGGGGUGAGAGCCAAUGGAGGGCAUUAGUAAAAGGAUGCUGAGUAGAAGAUCUAAGCCCUUCUUGAAUCACAGGAAAAGGAAACAGUUGUUUUUGUUCUAUUUAAUUGUUUUCUGUACCCCCAUCUUUACCCUAGGACUUAUUGUGAUUUUCUUUUUUUUUUUUUUUUAAAGACAGAGUCUCAUUCUGUCACCCAGGCUGGAGCCCAGUGGCAGGAUCUCAGCUCAGUGCAAUCUCCACCUCCUGGGUUCAAGCGAUUCUCAUGUCUCAGCCUCCUGAGUAGCUGGGAUUACAGGUGCCCACCAUCACGCCUGGCUAAUUUUUGUAUUUUUAGUAGACUGGGUUUUGUCACGUUGGCCAGGCUGGUCUCAAACUCCUGACCUCAGGUGAUCCAUCUGCCUUGGCCUCCCAAAGUGCUGGGACUGCAGGUGUGAGCCACUGCGCCCGGCCUAUUGUGACAUAUUGUGAUAUUUCUUUCUUUUUUGUGUGACAGUGUCUCACUCUGUUGCAGGCUGGAGUACAGUGGCACAAUUUCGGCUCACCUCCACCUCCACUUCCUGGGUUCAAGCAAUUCUCAUGCCUCAGCCUCCCAAGUAACUGGGACUACAGGCGUGUACCACUACACCCGGCUAAUUUUUUAUAAUUUCAGUAGAGACGGGGUUUCACCAUGUUGGCUAGGCUGGUCUCGAACUCCUGACCUCAGGUGAUCCGCCCACCUUGGCCUCCCAAAAUGCUGGGAUUACAGGUGUGAGCCACUGCGCCCGGCCUAUUGUGAUAUUUCUUUACUUAAUAACUAGCAGAUGAAUCUCUUAACAGUAUUCUGUUUUCCUCUAAGCAUGCAUAAAAAGUGGUCAAAUAAGUCCAUGAUGACUCAUCACCUUUUCCCUGCAAGGAGUGUACUGUAGAUUACCAAACCUGCAGAAGCCGUCUGUGUGGAGACAGGAGGAGGACAAACCAGGCUUGCUCUGCUUCACACCCAGAGACCUGGAGCCACAGCAUGUGGAAAUUGCUUUCAUGACCUUUUAUACCCCCUGCUGAUAAAGCAAUUAGAAAACUGAAGAGUUUCACGGUGGUGAGAUAGAAUUUCACAAUACUGAGUGAGAUAUUAGCAAUGGACUCUCCGUAUGUCCCUAUGGUCUACAAGCUUAAUAUGUAUCUUUAAACAAACACAUAAAAAAAUUCAUUAACUGGAGAAACAAGAUUGUGGCCAUAGUCAACACUCUAUAAUGUCACCAUCUUCACCACUAUCUCUGCUUAAAAUUCUGCCGUACUAUCUUCAGAAUAAGGAUAAUGAAUUGGAAAUACGACCAUUUCUUUUCAUUGCCCUUGAUGGUUACCUUUUUAAAAAAAAAAAAAAAAAAGUAGGGUCUUACUCUAUCAUCCAGGCUGGAGUAUGGUGGCAUGAUCAGCCUUGAGCUCCUGGGCUCAAGUGAUACUCUCGCCUUAGCCUCCAGAGUAGCUAGGAUUAUAGGUCAGUGCCACCAUGCCUGGCUAACUUAAAUUUUUUUUUUGUAGAGACAGGGUCUUGCUAUGUUGCCUAAGCUGACAAUUACUUUAUUUAAAAGCUUUUUUUUCUGGCCAGGGGUGGUGGCUCACACCUGUAAUCCCAGCACUUUGGGAGGCUGAGGCGGGUGGAUCACCUGAGGUCAGGAGUUCGAG
rnacentral:lncRNA from 1 species